rnacentral:rRNA from 1 species
AUUGAACGCUGGCGGCAUGCCUUACACAUGCAAGUCGAACGCGAAAGGGGGCAACCCUGAGUAGAGUGGCGAACGGGUGAGUAAUGCAUCGGAACGUGUCCUGUAGCGGGGGACAACCCCGAGAAAUCGGGGCUAAUACCGCAUACGUCCUACGGGAGAAAGUGGGGACCGCAAGGCCUCACACUAUAGGGGCGGCCGAUGCCGGAUUAGCUAGUUGGUGAGGUAAGGGCUCACCAAGGCGACGAUCCGUAGCUGGUCUGAGAGGAUGAUCAGCCACACUGGGACUGAGACACGGCCCAGACUCCUACGGGAGGCAGCAGUGGGGAAUUUUGGACAAUGGGCGCAAGCCUGAUCCAGCCAUGCCGCGUGAGUGAAGAAGGCCUUCGGGUUGUAAAGCUCUUUCGGCCGGGACGAAAUCGCUUUCGCUAAUAUCGAGAGUGGAUGACGGUACCGGAAUAAGAAGCACCGGCUAGCUACGUGCCAGCCGCCGCGGUAAUAC